ACACUGAUGGUGAAGCGGUUAUCAUGCUUGCCUUCCAAACGACACGUGAUUCCCGCAUUACGUUAAAUGGAGUAGCAAGCGGCAGGGGUUCGACUCCCCUUCAGUGUA